UACGUAGGGCGCAAGCGUUGUCCGGAAUUAUUGGGCGUAAAGAGCUCGUAGGCGGUCUGUCGCGUCGGCUGUGAAAACCCGAGGCUCAACCUCGGGCCUGCAGUCGAUACGGGCAAACUAGAGUACUGCAGGGGAGACUGGAAUUCCUGGUGUAGCGGUGAAAUGCGCAGAUAUCAGGAGGAACACCGGUGGCGAAGGCGGGUCUCUGGGCAGUAACUGACGCUGGAGGAGCGAAAGCCGUGGGGAGCGAACAGG
rnacentral:rRNA from 1 species